rnacentral:rRNA from 1 species
AUUGAACGCUGGCGGCAGGCCUAACACAUGCAAGUCGAGCGGAGCGGCGGACGGGUGAGUAAUGCCUCGGAAUCUGCCUGGUAGUGGGGGAUAACGUCCGGAAACGGGCGCUAAUACCGCAUACUAUCAGAUGAGCCUCGGUCGGAUUGGCUAGUUGGUGGGGUAAAGGCCUACCAAGGCGACGAACCGUAACUGGACUGAGAGGAUGAUCAGUCACACUGAGACUGAGACACGGUCCAGACGCCUACGUGAGGCAGCAGUGGGGAAUAUUGGGCAAUGGGCGAAAGCCUGAGACAGCCAUGCCGCGUGUGUGAAGAAGGUCUUCGGAUUGUAAAGCACUGUAAGUUGGGAGGCGUUACCAACAGAAUAAGCACCGGCUAACUUCGUGCCAGCAGCCGCGGUAAUUC